UGCAAGGGUUAUUGGAUCUAAUGGAUCCGU
rnacentral:sRNA from 1 species